GACGAACCGUGCGAACGUUGUUCGGAAUCACUGGGCUUAAAGGCGCGUAGGCGGGCUGACAAGUCUGGGGUGAAAUGCCCGCGGCUCAACCGUGGAACUGCCUCAGAUACUGUCGGCCUCGAGGAAGGUAGGGGCAUGCGGAACUGUAGGUGGAGCGGUGAAAUGCGUUGAUAUCUACAGGAACUCCGGUGGCGAAAGCGGCGUGCUGGACCUUUUCUGACGCUGAGGCGCGAAA
rnacentral:rRNA from 1 species